rnacentral:lncRNA from 1 species
AAAUCAAAAUAAAAAACCAUUUCCUUCGAACAAGCAUUUGCCACUCCCACAUACAUAGGAUUACUGUGGCAAGAAUCUUGGACAAGAAUAAGUCCUCCGUUCUGAAUCAAACAGCAUCUCUCUCUCUCUCUUCUCUCUCUCUCUCUCUCUCUCUCACACACACACACACACAGAGCAGUAAAAGAAGAAGAAGAAGAGAAGAUGGUGUAUGAACGUGGAGAAAAUAAUCAGUCACGUGUGCAAGAAAGCGGCCGUGAUUCUGUUACUGACUCCGGCCAUGCACGUUUGAACGAGCUUGGCUACAAACAAGAACUCAAGCGCGACCUCUCGUAAAUCAUCUUUUUUUUUUUU